AUUGAACGCUGGCGGCAGGCCUAACACAUGCAAGUCGAACGAGUGGAGGAAGGGUGAGUAAUGUAUGGGGAUCUGCGCGAUAGAGGGGGAUAACUACGGGACCCGGUGGCUACUACCGCAUACUAUCGGCUGAACACAUAUGGGAUUAGCUAGUAGGUGGGGGAAAGGCACACCUAGGCGACGAUCUCUAGCUGGUCUGAGAGGAUGAUCAGCCACACUGGAACUGAGACACGGCCCAGACUCCUACGGGAGGCAGCAGUGGGGAAUAUUGGACAAUGGGCGCAAGCCUGAUGCAGCCAUGCCGCGUGUAUGAAGAAGGCCUUAGGGUUGUAAAGUACUUUCAGCGGGGAGGCGUUACCCGCAGAAGAAGCACCGGCUAACUCCGUGCCAGCAGCCGCGGUAAUUC
rnacentral:rRNA from 1 species